GAGUUUGAUCCUGGCUCAGAACGAACGCUGGCGGCAGGCUUAACACAUGCAAGUCGAACGCUCCCCCUUCAAGCGAGCUUGAAGGGAUCUUUGAGGAAGAGAUCACGCAAGCCUUCGGGCUUGCUUGAUGGGGGAGAGUGGCAGACGGGUGCGUAACGCGUGGGAAUGGACCCUGGGGUCGGGAAUAACUGAGGGAAACUUCAGCUAAUACCUGAUAGAGCCGAGAGGCUAAAGAUUUAUCGCCCUGGGACUGGCCCGCGUUGGAUUAGCUUGUUGGUGAGGUCACGGCUCACCAAGGCGAUGAUCCAUAGCUGGUCUGAGAGGACGACCAGCCACACUGGGACUGAGACACGGCCCAGACUCCUACGGGAGGCAGCAGUGGGGAAUCUUGGACAAUGGGGGCAACCCUGAUCCAGCCAUGCCGCGUGGGUGAUGAAGGUCUUCGGAUUGUAAAACCCUUUUGGCGGGGACGAUGAUGACGGUACCCGCAGAAGAAGCUCCGGCUAACUUCGUGCCAGCAGCCGCGGUAA
rnacentral:rRNA from 1 species